ensembl:misc_RNA 7SK 7SK RNA
AUAAGUGAGGGUGAUGCAACCGCAACAUCUGCCACCCCAUUGAUCACCAGGGUUGACUUAGCUGACCUGGCUGGCUAGGCAGGUGUCCCUUUGCUCCUUCUCUGUUCCAUGUGUGUCCCUCCCAAAGCUGUGUGCUCGGUCAAAGAGGAUGACCAGCCUUGAUAGAGGAGGAUGAGUUAUUGGUCUGGGUUAUACAAGUAGCAGCACUCCCCUGCUCGAACCUCCAGACAACUUCUCAAGAAGACAUACAAAUAGUCAACAAACAUAUGAAAAAUCAUCAUUAUGGAAAUGCAAAUCAAAACCACAAUGAGAUAUCAUCU